UACGGGGGGGGCAAGCGUUGUUCGGAAUUACUGGGCGUAAAGGGCUCGUAGGCGGCCAACUAAGUCAGACGUGAAAUCCCUCGGCUUAACCGGGGAACUGCAUCUGAUACUGGAUGGCUUGAGAUUGGGAGAGGGAUGCGGAAUUCCAGGUGUAGCGGUGAAAUGCGUAGUUAUCUGGAGGAACACCGGUGGCGAAGGCGGCAUCCUGGACCAACACUGACGCUGAGGAGCGAAAGCCAGGGGAGCAAACGGG
rnacentral:rRNA from 1 species